UCGAUCGCCUCCUUAACCUCGGAAGUGGU
rnacentral:sRNA from 1 species